rnacentral:rRNA from 1 species
GGGUUGUGAGGUUAAGCGACUAAGCGUACACGGUGGAUGCCCUGGCAGUCAGAGGCGAUGAAGGGCGUACUAAUCUGCGAUAAGCGCCGGUAAGGUGAUAUGAACCGUUAUAACCGGCGAUACCCGAAUGGGGAAACCCAGUGUGAUUCGUCACACUAUCAUUAACUGAAUCCAUAGGUUAAUGAGGCGAACCGGGGGAACUGAAACAUCUAAGUACCCCGAGGAAAAGAAAUCAACCGAGAUUCCCCCAGUAGCGGCGAGCGAACGGGGAGGAGCCCAGAGCCUGAAUCAGCAUGUGUGUUAGUGGAAGCGUCUGGAAAGGCGCGCGAUACAGGGUGACAGCCCCGUACACAAAAGCGCAUGUGCUGUGAGCUCGAUGAGUAGGGCGGGACACGUGGUAUCCUGUCUGAAUAUGGGGGGACCAUCCUCCAAGGCUAAAUACUCCUGACUGACCGAUAGUGAACCAGUACCGUGAGGGAAAGGCGAAAAGAACCCCGGCGAGGGGAGUGAAAAAGAACCUGAAACCGUGUACGUACAAGCAGUGGGAGCACAGGUUUACCUGUGUGACUGCGUACCUUUUGUAUAAUGGGUCAGCGACUUAUAUUCUGUAGCAAGGUUAACCGAAUAGGGGAGCCGGAGGGAAACCGAGUCUUAAUUGGGCGUUAAGUUGCAGGGUAUAGACCCGAAACCCGGUGAUCUAGCCAUGGGCAGGUUGAAGGUUGGGUAACACUAACUGGAGGACCGAACCGACUAAUGUUGAAAAAUUAGCGGAUGACCUGUGGCUGGGGGUGAAAGGCCAAUCAAACCGGGAGAUAGCUGGUUCUCCCCGAAAGCUAUUUAGGUAGCGCCUCGUGAAUUCAUCUCCGGGGGUAGAGCACUGUUUCGGCUAGGGGGCCAUCCCGGCUUACCAACCCGAUGCAAACUGCGAAUACCGGAGAAUGUUAUCACGGGAGACACACGGCGGGUGCUAACGUCCGUCGUGAAGAGGGAAACAACCCAGACCGCCAGCUAAGGUCCCAAAGUCAUGGUUAAGUGGGAAACGAUGUGGGAAGGCCCAGACAGCCAGGAUGUUGGCUUAGAAGCAGCCAUCAUUUAAAGAAAGCGUAAUAGCUCACUGGUCGAGUCGGCCUGCGCGGAAGAUGUAACGGGGCUAAACCAUGCACCGAAGCUGCGGCAGCGACACUGUGUGUUGUUGGGUAGGGGAGCGUUCUGUAAGCCUGCGAAGGUGGCCUGUGAGGGUUGCUGGAGGUAUCAGAAGUGCGAAUGCUGACAUAAGUAACGAUAAAGCGGGUGAAAAGCCCGCUCGCCGGAAGACCAAGGGUUCCUGUCCAACGUUAAUCGGGGCAGGGUGAGUCGACCCCUAAGGCGAGGCCGAAAGGCGUAGUCGAUGGGAAACGGGUUAAUAUUCCCGUACUUGGUGUUACUGCGAAGGGGGGACGGAGAAGGCUAUGUUGGCCGGGCGACGGUUGUCCCGGUUUAAGCGUGUAGGUGUGUGUUCCAGGUAAAUCCGGUUCACUUUAACACUGAGGCGUGACGACGAGGCACUACGGUGCUGAAGCAACAAAUGCCCUGCUUCCAGGAAAAGCCUCUAAGCAUCAGGUAACAUCAAAUCGUACCCCAAACCGACACAGGUGGUCAGGUAGAGAAUACCAAGGCGCUUGAGAGAACUCGGGUGAAGGAACUAGGCAAAAUGGUGCCGUAACUUCGGGAGAAGGCACGCUGACACGUAGGUGAAGUGAUUUACUCAUGGAGCUGAAGUCAGUCGAAGAUACCAGCUGGCUGCAACUGUUUAUUAAAAACACAGCACUGUGCAAACACGAAAGUGGACGUAUACGGUGUGACGCCUGCCCGGUGCCGGAAGGUUAAUUGAUGGGGUCAGCGCAAGCGAAGCUCCUGAUCGAAGCCCCGGUAAACGGCGGCCGUAACUAUAACGGUCCUAAGGUAGCGAAAUUCCUUGUCGGGUAAGUUCCGACCUGCACGAAUGGCGUAAUGAUGGCCAGGCUGUCUCCACCCGAGACUCAGUGAAAUUGAACUCGCUGUGAAGAUGCAGUGUACCCGCGGCAAGACGGAAAGACCCCGUGAACCUUUACUAUAGCUUGACACUGAACAUUGAGCCUUGAUGUGUAGGAUAGGUGGGAGGCUUUGAAGUGUGGACGCCAGUCUGCAUGGAGCCGACCUUGAAAUACCACCCUUUAAUGUUUGAUGUUCUAACGUGGACCCGUUACCCGGGUUGCGGACAGUGUCUGGUGGGUAGUUUGACUGGGGCGGUCUCCUCCUAAAGAGUAACGGAGGAGCACGAAGGUUGGCUAAUCCUGGUCGGACAUCAGGAGGUUAGUGCAAUGGCAUAAGCCAGCUUGACUGCGAGCGUGACGGCGCGAGCAGGUGCGAAAGCAGGUCAUAGUGAUCCGGUGGUUCUGAAUGGAAGGGCCAUCGCUCAACGGAUAAAAGGUACUCCGGGGAUAACAGGCUGAUACCGCCCAAGAGUUCAUAUCGACGGCGGUGUUUGGCACCUCGAUGUCGGCUCAUCACAUCUGGGGNNNNNGUAGGUCCCAAGGGUAUGGCUGUUCGCCAUUUAAAGUGGUACGCGAGCUGGGUUUAGAACGUCGUGAGACAGUUCGGUCCCUAUCUGCCGUGGGCGCUGGAGAACUGAGGGGGGCUGCUCCUAGUACGAGAGGACCGGAGUGGACGCAUCACUGGUGUUCGGGUUGUCAUGCCAAUGGCACUGCCCGGUAGCUAAAUGCGGAAGAGAUAAGUGCUGAAAGCAUCUAAGCACGAAACUUGCCCCGAGAUGAGUUCUCCCUGAGACUUAAAGUCUCCUGAAGGAACGUUGAAGACGACGACGUUGAUAGGCCGGGUGUGUAAGCGCAGCGAUGCGUUGAGCUAACCGGUACUAAUGAACCGUGAGGCUUAACCUUACAACGCCGAAG